CUGCUUUUGCCUGUUUUAAGUUUUAUCUUCUCUAAAAAAGGGACUAUUUUUGAAAACUGGGAACCUAUGCUAUCAGCUGCCAACAUGAGACAGUCUGUUUAGCAAUAUUGACUCAAGCCCUCCUUUCAGGUGAUCCCUUCUUGACCUAGAGCCACUAGACAGCCACAGGUGGCACCUGAGCAGGGACCUGAAAACAGAGGACUUGCUGAGAAACAUUGCUUUGGUUGGAGCCUCCACAGAACAAAGUGAAAGCAAAAAGAAAGUAACCAAACAAAAAGAAAAUGCUGCACAGCGGCUGUAGGAGCGAUUGGUCUGUCGGUUGGAAAAGGUCCUUGUUGAAGAUCUUGAUCCUGGUGCAGCUUCUCAUGAUGAAUGUUGAAGAAUUAUGGGCCCUUGAUCCCUCUCAUCCAACUUUAUCACCUGUUGCCCAGGAUGCUUUUGUUUUCCCCACCAUGUAUUCUGGAAACCUGUCCUUGGGCUUACCAGCCUUAGCCCACUUUGAUCAUUCUAUCAAUAUCUCGGGAUGGUGGAA
ensembl:lincRNA 1600012P17Rik RIKEN cDNA 1600012P17 gene